rnacentral:misc_RNA from 1 species
AACUUUCAGCAACGGAUCUCUUGUCUCUCGCAUCGAUGAAGAACGCAGCGAAAUGCGAUAAGUAAUGUGAAUUGCAGAUUUUCAGUGAAUCAUCGAAUCUUUGAACGCACCUUGCGCUCCUUGGUAUUCCGAGGAGCAUGCCUGUUUGAGUGUCAUCACAUUCUCAACUCCAAGGGUUUCACGACCUUUGGGAGAUCGGACUUGGAGGUGCCGGCGGCAUAUAUGGGCAGGUCCUCUAAAAUGCUUCAGCGGAAUUCAACCUUUGGCUUCCGGACGUCAGUGUAAUAAUCAUGUUGCGCUGUCGUUUGUUCCUCAGACUCCGCUUAUAAUGAUCUAUGUACAAAUCAUCAUCAAAUUUGACCUCAAAUCAGGUAGGACUCCCAGCUGAACUUAAGCAUAUCAAUAAGCGGAGGCU